rnacentral:rRNA from 1 species
CAGCAGUGGGGAAUUUUGGACAAUGGGGGCAACUCUUUUCUCUUUCCUCGGAGAUGACCGCGUGAGUGAAGAAGGCCUUCGGGUUGUAAAGCUCUUUUGUCAGGGAAGAAACACCGCUCUAUUUCUAUUUCUUUUCUUAGUACGUACCUGAAGAUAAGCACCGGGCAAACCUCCUAACUCCUGUG